AGAGUUUGAUCCUGGCUCAGGAUGAACGCUAGCUACAGGCUUAACACAUGCAAGUCGAGGGGCAGCGGUAUCGAAAGCUUGCUUUCGGUAGCCGGCGACCGGCGCACGGGUGAGUAACGCGUAUCGAACCUGCCUCAUACUCGGGAAUAGCCUUGCGAAAGUAAGAUUAAUGCCCGGUGUUUUCAGAGUCCCGCAUGAGGCUUUGAACAAAGAUUUAUCGGUAUGAGAUGGCGAUGCGUCCCAUUAGCUUGUUGGCGGGGUAACGGCCCACCAAGGCAUCGAUGGGUAGGGGUUCUGAGAGGAAGGUCCCCCACAUUGGAACUGAGACACGGUCCAAACUCCUACGGGAGGCAGCAGUGAGGAAUAUUGGUCAAUGGGCGAGAGCCUGAACCAGCCAAGUAGCGUGCAGGAAGACGGCCCUCCGGGUUGUAAACUGCUUUUAGUUGGGAAUAAAACGGGGCUCGUGAGCCCCCUUGCAUGUACCAUCAGAAAAAGGACCGGCUAAUUCCGUGCCAGCAGCCGCGGUAAUACGGAAGGUCCGGGCGUUAUCCGGAUUUAUUGGGUUUAAAGGGAGCGCAGGCGGACCUUUAAGUCAGCUGUGAAAUACGGCGGCUCAACCGUCGAACUGCAGUUGAUACUGGAGGUCUUGAGUGCACACAGGGAUGCUGGAAUUCAUGGUGUAGCGGUGAAAUGCUCAGAUAUCAUGAAGAACUCCGAUCGCGAAGGCAGGCAUCCGGGGUGCAACUGACGCUGAGGCUCGAAAGUGCGGGUAUCAAACAGGAUUAGAUACCCUGGUAGUCCGCACAGUAAACGAUGAAUACUCGCGGUUUGCGAUACAAUGUAAGCCGCCAAGCGAAAGCGUUAAGUAUUCCACCUGGGGAGUACGCCGGCAACGGUGAAACUCAAAGGAAUUGACGGGGGCCCG
rnacentral:rRNA from 1 species